rnacentral:rRNA from 1 species
GAUGAACGCUGGCGGCGUGCCUAAUACAUGCAAGUCGAGCGAACGGACGAGAAGCUUGCUUCUCUGAUGUUAGCGGCGGACGGGUGAGUAACACGUGGAUAACCUACCUAUAAGACUGGGAUAACUUCGGGAAACCGGAGCUAAUACCGGAUGAUAUUUUGAACCGCAUGGUUCAAAAGUGAAAGACGGUCUUGCUGUCACUUAUAGAUGGAUCCGCGCUGCAUUAGCUAGUUGGUAAGGUAACGGCUUGCCAAGGCAACGAUGCAUAGCCGACCUGAGAGGGUGAUCGGCCACACUGGAACUGAGACACGGUCCAGACUCCUACGGGAGGCAGCAGUAGGGAAUCUUCCGCAAUGGGGGAAAGCCUGACGGAGCAACGCCGCGUGAGUGAUGAAGGUCUUCGGAUCGUAAAACUCUGUUAUUAGGGAAGAACAUAUGUGUAAGUAACUGUGCACAUCUUGACGGUACCUAAUCAGAAAGCCACGGCUAACUACGUG